rnacentral:rRNA from 1 species
UCGAACGCUUCUUUUUCCACCGGAGCUUGCUCCACCGGAAAAAGAGGAGUGGCGAACGGGUGAGUAACACGUGGGUAACCUGCCCAUCAGAAGGGGAUAACACUUGGAAACAGGUGCUAAUACCGUAUAACAAUCAAAACCGCAUGGUUUUGAUUUGAAAGGCGCUUUCGGGUGUCGCUGAUGGAUGGACCCGCGGUGCAUUAGCUAGUUGGUGAGGUAACGGCUCACCAAGGCCACGAUGCAUAGCCGACCUGAGAGGGUGAUCGGCCACAUUGGGACUGAGACACGGCCCAAACUCCUACGGGAGGCAGCAGUAGGGAAUCUUCGGCAAUGGACGAAAGUCUGACCGAGCAACGCCGCGUGAGUGAAGAAGGUUUUCGGAUCGUAAAACUCUGUUGUUAGAGAAGAACAAGGAUGAGAGUAACUGUUCAUCCCUUGACGGUAUCUAACCAGAAAGCCACGGCUAACUACGUGCCAGCAGCCGCGGUAAUACGUAGGUGGCAAGCGUUGUCCGGAUUUAUUGGGCGUAAAGCGAGCGCAGGCGGUUUCUUAAGUCUGAUGUGAAAGCCCCCGGCUCAACCGGGGAGGGUCAUUGGAAACUGGGAGACUUGAGUGCAGAAGAGGAGAGUGGAAUUCCAUGUGUAGCGGUGAAAUGCGUAGAUAUAUGGAGGAACACCAGUGGCGAAGGCGGCUCUCUGG